GCGGGAGUAGCGGGGAAUCACGGUGAAACCCACCGGGUCCUACAAGACCACAAGGCUAGCCGUUUCGCCAGGUCAGCGCCCGCACCGUCCCAAGAAGCCCGCAGCUUCCCAAGCUGAGAGCGCGAGUUCGAUUCUCGUCACCCGCUCCA
rnacentral:tRNA from 1 species